rnacentral:rRNA from 1 species
AAUAAACGUUGGCGGUGCGCCUUAUGCAUGCAAGUCGAACGGUUCCGAUUUAUCGGGAUAGUGGCGAACGGCUGAGUAACACGUAAGUAACCUGCCUUGGAGUGGGAAAUAACUUGCUGAAAGGCGAGCUAAUGUCCCAUGUGGUAAUGAAGCGUAGGCUUCAUUAUUAAAGCCUUCGGGCGCUCCAAGAGGGGCUUGCGCCUGAUUAGCUAGUUGGCAGGGUAAUGGCCUACCAAGGCGAUGAUCAGUAGCUGGUCUGAGAGGAUGGCCAGCCAGAUGGGGACUGAGACACGGCCCCAACUCCUACGGGAGGCAGCAGCAAGGAAUCUUGGGCAAUGGGCGAAAGCCUGACCCAGCGACACCGCGUGAGGGAAGAAGGCCUUCGGGUUGUAAACCUCUUUUCCUGGGGAAGAAUCUUGACGGUACCCAGGGAAUAAGCCUCGGCCAACUACGUGCCAGCAGCCGCGGUAAUACGUAGGAGGCGAACGUUAUUCGGAUUUACUGGGCGUAAAGUGAGCGUAGGCGGUUCCUUAAGUCAGAUGUGAAAUCUUCUGGCUCAAUCAGAAGGAGUCAUUUGAUACUGAGGUGCUUGAGAGCAACAGAGGGAAAUGGAAUCCCCAGUGUAGCGGUGAAAUGCGUAGAUAUUGGGGAGAACACCAGUGGCGAAGGCGAUUUCCCAGGUUGUUUCUGACGCUGAGGCUCGAAAGCGUGGGGAGCGAAGCGGAUUAGAUACCCGCGUAGUCCACGCCCUAAACGGUGGACACUAGAUAUAGGAGGUAUCGACCCUUUCUGUGUCGAAGCUAACGCUUUAAGUGUCCCGCCUGGGGAGUACGGCCGCAAGGCUG